GACGAACGCUGGCGGCGCGCUUAACACAUGCAAGUCGAGCGAUGAAAUUUCGACAGAUCCCUUCGGGGUGAAGAUGAAAUGGAUUAGCGGCGGACGGGUGAGUAACACGUGAGUAACCUGCCUUUGACAUUGGGAUAGCCUCGGGAAACUGGGAUUAAUACCAAAUGACACUAACUGAUCACAUGAUCAAUUAGUCAAAGAAAUUCGGUCAAAGAUGGACUCGCGGCUGAUUAGCUAGUUGGUGAGGUAACGGCCCACCAAGGCGACGAUCAGUAGCCGGCCUGAGAGGGUGAUCGGCCACAUUGGAACUGAGACACGGUCCAAACUCCUACGGGAGGCAGCAGUGGGGAAUAUUGCACAAUGGGGGAAACCCUGAUGCAGCGACGCCGCGUGAGCGAAGAAGGCCUUCGGGUCGUAAAGCUCUUUUAGGAGGGAAGAUAAUGAAGGUACCUCAAGAAAAAGCCCCGGCUAACUACGU
rnacentral:rRNA from 1 species